rnacentral:rRNA from 1 species
UACGUAGGCGGUUUAUUAAGUCAGAUGUGAAAGCCCCGGGCUUAACCUGGGAACUGCAUUUGAUACUGGUAAACUAGAGUAUGGUAGAGGGGGGUAGAAUUCCUAGUGUAGCGGUGAAAUGCGUAGAUAUUAGGAGGAAUACCAGUGGCGAAGGCGGCCCCCCUGGACCAAUACUGACGCUGAGGUACGAAAGCGUGGGUAGCGAACA